AAAACAUGACUUUGAUCUCCGUCCUCAUCUGGACUCUCCUCUGCUGCUGCUUCACAGAGUCCAGCGGUCAGUACACAGUGACUCAGCCUGGAGCAGUGAGCUCUGCUCUGGGAGGCUCCGUCUCCAUCAGCUGUAGGACCAGUCAGAAUGUUUAUAGCUCAAACCGUUUAGCCUGGUACCAACAGAGAGAUGGAGAAACUCCUAAACUCCUCAUUUACCUUGCUAGCACUCGAGCAUCAGGGAUUCCAGAUCGUUUUACAGGCAGUGGAUCAAACUCUGACUUUUACUCUGACCAUCAGUGGAGUCCAGACUGAAGAUGCAGCAGUUUA